rnacentral:lncRNA from 1 species
ACCAUUAAUUUCACAGCUUACAAUUAUUUGCAUCUCCCCCGCUUUUUUUUUGUUUUUUUUUUUCUUUGCUUGAGUCAUUUUAAAAAGCCCUUAUGAUUUCCUUUAAUCCUUUUGGUAGAGCAAUUCCAUUCUCUUCUCUCUUAACCUCCUCUCUCCGGAACGCCCCCCCUCCGCCUGAAAGCUUUAAAUAAUGCAGCAAAUUCUUGUUUCGUUUCCUUUUCUCUGUUUCCAGAUGGAUUUUUCUCCCCAGAACAUCCCUGGGAAUCAUUUCUGUCAGAUGCUUCACUGGAUGUCCCUUGGUCUUUACAGCCAUCUAUCCUCCUUCUCCAACCCCCACCUCGAAUUGCAACUUGCUAUUUUAAUUAUAGUUUCUCUUGCCACACUUGGGUUGUUUUUUUUUUCUCUUCUCAGUCUUCUACCUCGCUUAGAUUUUAAUCCCUUCUUCCAGUGCAGAAAAUUCAUUAAGAUUUCUAGAUUCCUCCCAAUUUGCUUCCUUGAUGUUGAAUAAUUCUUAGUCUAUGUAUGAUGCUGAUUGUUCAGAUGUUGAAUUAAGUUGCUAAGCAGUGGGGCCAGGAGGCCCUGUCCAAGUGCAGACUGAACCCCACUCCGGAGUGGAGCUGGGGUGUCCCUGGGUCAUCUGGUCCCUGCAGUCCUGAAGCUGGCCCUCUCUAAGACCAGACCUCGGCCCCAGUGCAACCAGCCACCUGUGCCUGCCUCCCUGGCCACCCGAUGAGAGGUCCUGGGAUUGUUUGUCUUCGGUUCCAUGGAUUGAUCCUUGCAGGCUGGGCCAGGCUGGCCCUGACCAUAAGCCACCUGGGUCACCUGCAGCUGUU